GUCUUUUGAUUGGGGCAUUUACCCCAUUAACAUUCAGGGUAACUAUUGAGAGAUAUGAAUUUAGUGCCAUUGUAUUGCCUGUAAAAUGACUGUUACUGUAUAUGGUCUCUGUUCCUUUCUGAUCUACUACUUUUAGGCUCUCUCUUUGCUUAGAGGCCCCCUUUCAGUAUUUCCUGUAGAGCUGGUUUGGCGUUUGCAAAUUCUUUCAGUUAUUGUUUGUCCUGGAAGCUUUUUAUCUCUCCUUCUAUUUUCAGUGAUAGCCUAGCUGGAUAUAGUAUUCUUGGCUGCAUGUUUUUCUCAUUUAGUGCUCUGAAUAUAUCAUGCCAGCUCUUUCUGGCCUGCCAGGUCUCUGUGGAUAAGUUUGCUGCCAAUCUAAUAUUUUUACCAUUGUAUGUUACAGACUUCUUUUCCUGGGCUGCUUUCAGGAUUUUCUCUUUGUCACUAAGACUUGUAAAUUUUACUAUUAGGUGAAGGGGUGUGGACCUAUUCGUAUUGAUUUUGAGGGGCGUUCUCUGUGCCUCCUGGAUUUUGAUGCUUGUUCCCUUUGCAAUAAUUGGGAAAUUCUCCCCAAUAAUUCUCUCUAGUAUACCUUCUGCUCCCCUCUCUCCAUCUUCUUCUUCUGGAAUCCCAAUUAUUCUAAUGUUGUUUUGUCUUAUGGUGUCACUUAUCUCAAAUUCUCCCUUCAUAGUCCAGUAGCUGUUUGUCCCUCUUUUGCUCAGCUUCUUAAUUCUCUGUCAUUUGGUCUUCUAUAUCACGAAUUCUUUCUUCUGCCUCAUUUAUGCUAUCAAUGAGAGCCUCCAUUUUUUAUUGCACUCAUUAGUAGCCUUUUUGAUUUCAGCUUGGUUAGAUUUUAGUUCUUUUAUUUCUCCAGAAAGGGCUUUUAUAUCUCCCAAGAGGGUUUCUCUACUAUCUCCCAUACCUUUUUCGAGCCCGGCUAGAACCUUGAGAAUCAUCAUUCUGAACUCUAGAUCUGACAUAUUACCAAUAUCUGUAUUGAUUAGGUCCCUAUCCUUCGGUACUGCCUCUUGUUCUUUUUUUUGUGGUUCAUUUUUCUGCCUCGUCAUUUUGUCCAGAUAAGAGUAUAUGAAGGUGCAAGUAAAAUACUAAAAGGGUGGGAAAGUCCCCAGAAAAAUAUGCUUUAACCAAAUCAUAAGAGAUCCCAAAUCCUUGGUGGGAGAAAAGGGAUAAAAAGAGGUUCAGAAAAAAAAAAAAAAAAACAAAGAAACAAUUAAAAAAAGAAAAUGAAUAAAGAAAAAUAAAAAAAGAAAUAUAUAUAUUUAUAUAUAUAUAUAUAUAUAUAUAUAUAUAUAUGAUAAACCAUUUGAAAAACGUUAAAAAAGAAAAGGUUAAAAGUUAAAAAAAAUUUAGAAGGAGAAAAAAAAAAUUGAAAAAGAAAAAAAAAUUUAAAUUAACUGCAAGACUAAAGAAUCAUGAGUUCCGUGCUUUGCUUUCUCCUCCUCUGGAAUUCCGCUGUUCUCCUUGUAUUGAAACUGCACUCCUUGGUAGGUGAACUUGGUCCUGCCUGGAUUUCUUGUUGAUCUUUUAGAUGAGGGGCCUGUUGUAGUGAUUCUCAUGUGUCUUUUCCCGAGGCAGAAUUGCACAGCCCUUACCAGGGGCCGGGCUGAGUAAUCUGCUUGGGUUUGCUUUCAGGAGCUUUUGUUCCCUGAAUGCUUUCUGAAGAGUUCCAGAGGAUGGGAAUGGAAAUGGCGGCCUCCCAGUCUCCAGCCCAGAGGAGCUGAGUGCUCAGGGCCCCACUCUUCAAUGCACCUUCAGAGAAUAGCGCCCAAUUACUCCCAUCUCCCUGGCUUCUGGCCGCACUCAGAGCUCACCAAGCCUGCGACCGUUUCAAGGAAUUCAAUACCUGCAGCUUUCCCAACCCUCUGUGGAAUACUCCAUCAUCUAAGUGUUCAAGUUUGCUGAUCUCUGUACUCCUGGAAAACAGCAAUGAUUAAGAAAUCCCCCUACCUUUUUGCAUUCUGGGAAACAGCUUGAUGCAAAGAACCACCCUUCUCUGCAUGAUUGUUGCUUGUUCUCCCAAAGUGAUAUCUGAAGAGUGGCUAAAGCCAGAAGAGGGCUGCAGAUACACACUGGAGACCUCUCUUCACGGAGGUGGGAGGUGACAACCGGCAGCUUGAAGUAAUGAAGUCAAAGAAUUUUCAGAAGAGUUCAGAAAAAGAGAAUAUACUUGGGUUAGAACCUUCAGGCAUAUUAGAUAUUCGAGGAAAAUCAAGAAAUCCUAGUACUGGUGACAUUCAGACAACACAAGCGUGGGCACACCAACCCCUUCUUCAUAGUGGAAAAUACGUGUACAACUUGACUCCCCCAAAACUUACCUACGAGUUGCCCACUGUUGACUAGAAGCCCUACCAAUAACAUGAACAGUUGGUUAACACAGAUUUUGUAUGUUAGAUGUAUUCUCUACUCUAUUCUUAUAGUAAAGUGAGGUAGAGAAAAGUAAAUGUUAUUAAAGUUAUAAGGAAGAGAAAAUACAUUUACAUACUGUACUCUUUUAAUAAAAAAAAUCUGUGUGAAAGUA